UGAUACCCCACUUUGCCCAGCCAUAACAAAACAAUUAAAUAACCUAUUGUUCGCCAAAUAACUACGAGUACAAACUUAAAAUUUAAAAGACUUGACGGUACCUCACAACAACCUAGAGGAGCCUGUCUAAUAACCGAUACCCCACGAUUAACCCAACCCACCCUAGCCUGUCAGUCUAUAUACCGCCGUCACCAGCUUACCUUGUGAAAGAAAUAAAGUGAACCUAACAGGUCACCCCUAACACGACAGGUCGAGGUGUAACAAAUGGGUGGGCAAAAGAUGGGCUACAUUCUCUCCCAACAGAGAAUACGAAUAAACUAUGAAACUAGAAACUGAAGGCGGAUUUAGCAGUAUGUUAAAGACACAAUACUUAACUGAAACUAAUGCAAUGAGGUGCGUACACACCGCCCGUCAUCCCUGUCAAACCAAUAAAAAAAUCAAUAAACACACAUACACCCCUUAAAGCAGGGCAAGUCGUA
rnacentral:rRNA from 1 species